CCUACGGGAGGCAGCAGUCGAGAAUCAUUCACAAUGGGGGAAACCCUGAUGGUGCGACGCCGCGUGGGGGAAUGAAGGUCUUCGGAUUGUAAACCCCUGUCAUGUGGGAGCAAAUUAAAAAGAUAGUACCACAAGAGGAAGAGACUGCUAACUCUGUGCCAGCAGCCGCGGUAAUACAGAGGUCUCAAGCGGUGUUCGGAAUCACGGGGCGUAAAGCGUGCGUAGGCUGUUUCGUAAGUCGUGUGUGAAAGGCGCGGGCUCAACCCGCGGACGGCACAUGAUACUGCGAGACUAGAGUAAGGGAGGGGGAACCGGAAUUCUCGGUGUAGCAGUGAAAUGCGUAGAUAUCGAGAGGAACACUCGUGGCGAAGGCGGGUUCCUGGACAUUAACUGACGCUGAGGCACGAAGGCCAGGGGAGCGAAAGGGAUUAGAUACCCGUGUAGUC
rnacentral:rRNA from 1 species